rnacentral:rRNA from 1 species
UACGAAGGGGGCUAGCGUUGCUCGGAGUUACUGGGCGUAAAGCGCACGUAGGCGGCUCUUUAAGUCAGGGGUGAAAUCCUGGAGCUCAACUCCAGAACUGCCUUUGAUACUGAGGAUCUUGAGUUCGGGAGAGGUGAGUGGAACUGCGAGUGUAGAGGUGAAAUUCGUAGAUAUUCGCAAGAACACCAGUGGCGAAGGCGGCUCACUGGCCCGAUACUGACGCUGAGGCACGAAAGCGUGGGGAGCAAACAGG